rnacentral:rRNA from 1 species
AUUGAACGCUGGCGGCAGGCCUAACACAUGCAAGUCGAACGGUAACAGGAAGCAGCUUGCUGCUUCGCUGACGAGUGGCGGACGGGUGAGUAAUGUCUGGGAAACUGCCUGAUGGAGGGGGAUAACUACUGGAAACGGUAGCUAAUACCGCAUAGCGUCGCAAGACCAAAGAGGGGGACCUUAGGGCCUCUUGCCAUCGGAUGUGCCCAGAUGGGAUUAGCUAGUAGGUGGGGUAACGGCUCACCUAGGCGACGAUCCCUAGCUGGUCUGAGAGGAUGACCAGCCACACUGGAACUGAGACACGGUCCAGACUCCUACGGGAGGCAGCAGUGGGGAAUAUUGCACAAUGGGCGCAAGCCUGAUGCAGCCAUGCCGCGCGUAUGAAGAAGGCCUUCGGGUUGUAAAGUACUUUCAGCGGGGAGGAAGGGAGUAAAGUUAAUACCUUUGCUCAUUGACGUUACCCGCAGAAGAAGCACCGGCUAACUCCGUG